rnacentral:rRNA from 1 species
CUCGUAGGCGGUUUGUCGCGUCGGAUGUGAAAACUCGGAGCUUAACUCCGGGCCUGCAUUCGAUACGGGCAGACUAGAGUUCGGUAGGGGAGACUGGAACUCCUGGUGUAGCGGUGGAAUGCGCAGAUAUCAGGAAGAACACCGAUGGCGAAGGCAGGUCUCUGGGCCGAUACUGACGCUGAGGAGCGAAAGCGUGGGGGAGCGAACA